GAUGAACGCUAGCUGCAGGCUUAACACAUGCAAGUCGCGGGGCAGCAUGGGGGUUGCUUGCAAUCCCCGAUGGCGACCGGCGCACGGGUGAGUAACGCGUAUUCAACCUGCCCUUCACCACGGGAUAACCCGGCGAAAGUCGGACUAAUACCGUAUGUUGUCCAUUGACGGCAUCCGAUUUGGACGAAAGGCUUGGCGGUGAGGGAUGGGGAUGCGUCCGAUUAGCCAGACGGCGGGGUAACGGCCCACCGUGGCUACGAUCGGUAGGGGUUCUGAGAGGAAGGUCCCCCACACUGGAACUGAGACACGGUCCAGACUCCUACGGGAGGCAGCAGUGAGGAAUAUUGGUCAAUGGGCGUAAGCCUGAACCAGCCAAGUAGCGUGCAGGAUGACGGCCCUAUGGGUUGUAAACUGCUUUUAUGCGGGGAUAAAGUGGCCCACGUGUGGGCUUUUGCAGGUACCGCAUGAAUAAGGACCGGCUAAUUCCGUG
rnacentral:rRNA from 1 species